AUACGGAGGGUGCAAGCGUUACUCGGAAUCACUGGGCGUAAAGGAUGCGUAGGCUAGAUGUCAAGUUGGAAGUGAAAUCCUAUGGCUUAACCAUAGAACUGCUUCCAAAACUGGCAACCUAGAGUGAGGGAGAGGCAGAUGGAAUUAGUGGUGUAGGGGUAAAAUCCGUAGAUAUCACUAGGAAUACCGAUUGCGAAGGCGAUCUGCUAGAACUCUACCGACGCUAAGGCAUGAAAGCGUGGGGAGCAGACAGGAUUAGAAACCCCGGUAGUCC
rnacentral:rRNA from 1 species